rnacentral:rRNA from 1 species
UACGGGGGGAGCAAGCGUUGUUCGGAUUUACUGGGCGUAAAGGGCGCGUAGGCGGUCAGCACAAGUCAGCUGUGAAAUCUCCGGGCUUAACUCGGAAAGGUCAACUGAUACUGUGCGACUAGAGUGCGGAAGGGGCAACUGGAAUUCUCGGUGUAGCGGUGAAAUGCGUAGAUAUCGAGAGGAACACCUGCGGCGAAGGCGGGUUGCUGGGCCGACACUGACGCUGAUGCGCGAAAGCCAGGGGAGCGAACGGG